CUGGGAGGAGGCUGUUUACUCU
rnacentral:miRNA from 1 species